rfam:Oryza glaberrima chromosome 2 Oglab02_0447_12, whole genome shotgun sequence.
ACUGCUGUGAUAAGCCCUAACAUGGAAGAAGGCCCAGAGAUUGCUCCUGUUUUUCUGUGAAAUACUCCUGUUACGCUUGGCUUCUGAGCGGC